UAGCUGUUUUUAUUUUAGUCUUUUCUCUCCAUUUGGGCCACAAAAUAGGUCAGCUCCAUUACUGAUCAGCCUUCCCACAAAUAUUUAAAACAAAUUGAAUAGCACACCCAAUACCCAUCACAAUUACACCAGGCACAAUAACUAAAUUAGCAAUUCAACAAAAUAAUUGGAAAUGCGAUUCUCUCUAUUCCACCAGCCUCCCUCGAGGGUUUAUCCCAUCUAUGGGGGGAAACUCAGCUUCACUAAUUCUGCAGCUAAUUAGAGACACACUUGUAAAUGAAGUUGUUUGUCUUAAAGUUGAAAUUCUCUUCGGGGUGGGGUGGGGGGGCGCGGGGAGAAGAGCCACAUUCCUCCCAUCGCAGUCUACACCUUUCUGAGCUAGUAUAAGUGGUAAAGACCACCGGGAUCCUCCGUCUACUUGCCCUGCUUUGCAGUUUGCAGGGGUCUCCCCUGAAGUGGGGAAAGGUUAAGUGACCCUCCUAGUGGGCAGCACAGCUGGGCUUCCGAGCCAGCUCCUGCCUCUAGACCCCAAAUCUCGGCCCCUGGACCGCAGGGUAAUGAAAACAUCUUCUCAUUAGCGGCCAAAUCCUAAACGAAUCCAGAAUGAAUGUGCCACGGGGUACCGCGAAGGGGCUGGUGUGCCGGUCAGGUGACAGCGUGAAGCCACGUUGCUCUAGAAGGUGCCCUUCCUUACACGUUUGCCUGCCUGGUGCCUUCCUUUGAUGGAGACCAACUAAUCCCCUCUUCUGCCAGGGGCCCCCGUGCAAGGGCAAGUCGCUUCCUGACCGCAAGAGGGGAAAGCAGGGGGUUCGAGCGGGAGCCCCCGGGUGGCCAAUCUGAAGAUCCGGGAACUGGCUGGGGCUCAGCCGCUGUGGGAUAGAGUCAGAUAAAGAGAGAUCCGACUCUUAACGGGUCAUUUUUGACAAUCUGGGUCUCGGCUUCCUCACUUUUGAAGGGCAGCUGGAUGGCGGGGGACGGGGGGAGAACGGGAGAGUGCUGGACCCGGAGUCCGGAGAGAUGCUGUGACCUUUAAAGGAUAACGGAGCUCUCCCCCGGCCUGGGGGCUUCCGAGCUCACCAGCACUUGGCCGCCGGGCCCCGCCCUCCGCUGCUGCCGCCUCGGGGCUGGUUCGGUGGUCAGCCCCGAACCACACCCCUUCCCCGAUCGGAGGUUUGGGACUUCGAGAUCCACCCCCGUCACAAGGCGAGUCCGUCGCGUCGCGACUAGUGGGAAGUUUGGCGCUCUCCCGCGGGGAGUAAAGGGGAGCAAUGCGCUGCCCUUAGCCGCGAGGCGACGGCGGCAGAUGAAAGGUGCCCCGGCUCGCGGAAGCCUCCCGCCUCCCCGAGGUUCUCCGCACCUCUUCUCCGGCCCAGGUAGCGGGAGGGAGCGGAAGGGAGCCUGCUUAAACGCUGAUAAGUAAAUUCAAAAGCAUCCUCGGUGCAGCUUUGAAUCUCGUUUUCCUGCUUAUCUUUUCAAACAAUAUGAACUACAAGUUAUCACAUUGAAAGUGUUUCAUAUUAGCCUUUUAACAUUACAUCCAGCUCUUAAAAGCCCGGUGCGAUGUGCUCCAGACUUUAAAGGACACAAGAGUCAAGCCGGAAAGUCAUUCUAAAGCUUAAUAGAGUCAAUUCCCAACAUAAUCGGGUGCGGAGGGAAGAAAAGAGGAGGCCCGACUUGGCCGCUCUCCCUCCUCGCCGCCUCGGAGCAGCGGCUGGAAGGAACAGGAAAGCAGCUGUGUCCGGGCCCCAGGAGGGGAGCCCCUCCCCUGUCCGUGGACUCUCCAGAGCAAAAGGCGAGGCCGGAAGAUCUGGAGGAGCUCUGGCUCACUCCAGAGGCGACGGAAACCCCCCUCGGGCUCUGGACACUCGCCGCUACCCGCCCAAGGGAACAGCGCAUCCUUCCCCCCUUCCCCCCCAGGGCUCCGGGCUGGGGGCUGGCUGGAGCCGGAUUCUGCCGGGCAGCCAUUGCUCGGGCUUUGGGAAGCCCCCGACUCGGCGGUGCUGCGGUGUGAGGCUCGCGCUGGAGGCGAGGCAGGAAUCUUAGAUCAGCAGGCUAAUUGCUUUGUGCUAAAUAGAAGCCAUACUUGCAUACUAAUCUACACACCAUUACCCAGAGCUCAGCGCGCUGGAGCCUGGCUCUCUCAGGCAGCCCCUUCUAGAUCCAGUCACUCAGAGCUAGUGCCGCCCCGUCAGCUUUCUUGAGGAGACUCCGACCCAGACCCCAAUCCUAAACUCGGGGGGGGGGGUGCCAAGCCCCCCACGAGGGGGAUUCCAGGGGAUGGAAUAAGCUCAACCAACGUUACCCCCUCCCCUCCCCUCGGACUGCAGGCCCUGCUCCCAGCCUAGCCCCUACCACUGGCCAAGCACAUUGCUUCCCCAGGAGCUCGGGCCCCCUACUGCCCUAGUAGCUUCAGCUACUGUAGAGCCAGAAAAUAAAGGCAGCACUAUCAAAUUCCAAGACCGUCUCAGUCAAUUGAGAGCUGGGCCCAGAUUCAGGAGGUUCUGGGUUCAAAUGUGACCGCAGAUACUUCUUAGCUGUGUGUCCCUGGGCAAGUCACUUAACCCCAGUUGCCUAGCCCUUACCACUCAGCCUUAGAACCAAUCCAUUCUAAGACAAGGGUUGGGGGGAGGGGGGAAUAAAAGAUGGAUUGUGGCCCUGCUUUGGAGCUUAAAUAAUAAAAUAAUUAAAAAAUAAUUUUAUUAAAACAAAAAAACCCCCAUGCCUUACGGUUUGUCUUAUCAGUUCCUAGGCAGUAGAGCAGUCAGGGCUAGGCAAUGGGGAGUGACUUGUCCAGGGUCACCCGGCUAGGAAGGGUCUGAAGCUACAUAACUCAGAACCUCUUGACUCUAGGCCUGGCUCUCUAUCCACCGGGCCACCCAGCUUUCACUUACUUUCUGCCCGGGAUCUUUUCCUAAGUCUGGGUCUCUCUUCUUUCUAAAGGCAGCCUUCAUCCAUAUUGAUGGAGACCGAAGGUUCCCUGUAAAAGCCUUCUUCACCCACGCUGGGGAUCUUGACACUCCUGUUUGGCUGGAAAGCAAGACACGUUUCACAGGGUGAUAACUUUCUAAGAAAGACGGAGCAUGGUAAAGUGGGCCUAGCCUAAGCUCCCCCUCCUUCUCCUGUAUCCCAGGAGCCUCUGGGAACCUCCGGAGCUCUAGGUAGCCAGAACAGAGGGAAAAGAUCCAUUCCCUUUGGGGACUCUCCAUGAGAGGGGGAGCUCCUCGAGGGCAGGGACAUUGUUCUCCCUUUCUUUGCAGGCCCCAAGCUUGGCCCAGUUACUGGCUGUCCUCAGUCUCGUUUUUCAUUUUCUCUGUAAAGCCAGCGUCCUUGGUGGGAGACAGACACCCUAAUUUCCUAGCAGUACGGCCAUCGCUGCGGCUAUGCCCAGGAGGGAAGGAGAGGACAAACAUGGGCAAGACCAGGAAUAAGUGAAGAAGACUUCAUCAAUAGUUGCUGGACAAACUGAAUUAACUACAAAUCAGCAGGGUGAUAUGGAUCCCACAGUCUUAACGUGUAUUAGUUAAUGAACUUACCAAACGACCCUCGAUUCUCUCAGAAAUGUUGCAGGGAAGAAAGUCAAAGGGGACAGUGGGGGACUGCUGGAGGGGCGGGGAAGAGAAAGGAAAUGCUCUGUUAGGAAGACAAAGUCCAGAGGGAGUACACAACACAGGAGAGAACAAGCUGGCCGCAGUAAGGAAGGAAAAAAGCCAGAAGGUGUGGUGACUACCACCAGGCAAAUCUCACAUUUAUUAAACACACAAUGGAGAAAUCUGUGAAUCCACAUGAGGUCUACAAUGGGGGCAAGAAUGAGAGCCGGCACCCAGAUGGUCCACCUUAGGGAGAGCCCCUACAAAAAUCCAUCAGCUCUGCUCCAGGGAAGCUGGCCGGUGGGAGCCUAAUGCAUUAAGUAUGAAGGAAAGGAACCCUUAGGGAAUACUAAAAAGGCCCAAACACACUUCAAAAGGCACAUUGUGGAUCAAUUCUGGGGCAUGACUGGAUCCUCCUUUUAGAGCCACUGGUGUGAGGUGGCCAGCCAGCACAGGAUCACAGGAAAUCAGCAGUUAGCAAUCCUUCCAGAAUUCAGGGCAAGCUGACCGAGAGCAUUAACCCAGAAGAGGCGAACAUGAUUUUAAGGCCUCUGCAAAGGGGUCGUGGUAGCCUCGGCUCCCUACCUGAUGAGGGCUCCGGGCUCUGCCAUCUCAGGCACAGUCCAGGGAGGCCAGAAUGUGUGACCAGCACUCACCCCCAGGAGCUUUACAAAGGAGGCCAAAACAAUAGGAAAAGAUCCAGAGAGAGGGCCCUGGGUGGGGAGGGAAAGCCAGGUUCAACCCUCACUAAUGGAAGCCAGCAGAAGGCAACCCUUCCCCCCCCCCACCUCCCCCC